rnacentral:rRNA from 1 species
AGAGUUUGAUCCUGGCUCAGGAUGAACGCUAGCGGCAGGCUUAACACAUGCAAGUCGAGGGGUAGAGGUUGCUUGCAACCUUGAGACCGGCGCACGGGUGCGUAACGCGUAUGCAACCUACCUUUUACAGAGGGAUAGCCCAGAGAAAUUUGGAUUAAUACCUCAUAGUAUAUCUUUCGCAUGUUAGGUAUAUUAAAGUUCCAACGGUAAAAGAUGGGCAUGCGUCCUAUUAGCUAGAUGGUAAGGUAACGGCUUACCAUGGCUACGAUAGGUAGGGGUCCUGAGAGGGAGAUCCCCCACACUGGUACUGAGACACGGACCAGACUCCUACGGGAGGCAGCAGUGAGGAAUAUUGGACAAUGGGCGCAAGCCUGAUCCAGCCAUGCCGCGUGCAGGAAGAAGCAUCUAUGGUGUGUAAACUGCUUUUGUACAGGAAGAAACAUCCCGACGUGUCGGGACUUGACGGUACUGUAAGAAUAAGGAUCGGCUAACUCCGUGCCAGCAGCCGCGGUAAUACGGAGGAUCCAAGCGUUAUCCGGAAUCAUUGGGUUUAAAGGGUCCGUAGGCGGUUUGGUAAGUCAGUGGUGAAAGCCCGCAGCUCAACUGUGGAACGGCCAUUGAUACUGCCAGACUUGAAUUACAAGGAAGUAACUAGAAUAUGUAGUGUAGCGGUGAAAUGCUUAGAUAUUACAUGGAAUACCAAUUGCGAAGGCAGGUUACUACUUGUGGAUUGACGCUGAUGGACGAAAGCGUGGGGAGCGAACAGGAUUAGAUACCCUGGUAGUCCAA